AGAAUGUUGGUGUAAUUGGAAACACGUUGCCUAGCAAGGCGAAGAUGCGGGUUCGAGUCCCGUACAUUCUACCA
rnacentral:tRNA from 1 species